AUUUUCUUACAUGAACAUAAUCCUUAAAAAAAAUUUAUAUGUGAUUUUAAUAAAACCGUGUAUUACUAAAAAAUAAGAAUAUAUUUUUAAAGAAAUCACGUGUGAUCUUAAUAAAAAAUGUGUAUUACUACAAAAUAUCAUGAUAAAAAGAGAUAUUAAACUGAAUAGAAUGUUUUUUCCAUAAAAUACCAUGUGCUUUUUAUAAAUACUAUGUAAUAAGAGAAAAUAACAAGAUAAAAAGAGAUAUUAUGUUAUCGCAUGUAUUUCGGAAAAAAAACAUGUUACAAAGGAUAUUUAUGUAAUUACAUGUGUUCUCCAAUAUGUUUCCGACAAGCUACUGUGACUCAAGGUUAGUUUGUACAUUCUUUUCAAAUCUAUAAUCAUUUAUUAUAAAUUCUCUU
rnacentral:sRNA from 1 species